rnacentral:rRNA from 1 species
UUAAGCGACUAAGCGUACACGGUGGAUGCCCUGGCAGUCAGAGGCGAUGAAGGACGUGCUAAUCUGCGAUAAGCGUCGGUAAGGUGAUAUGAACCGUUAUAACCGGCGAUUUCCGAAUGGGGAAACCCAGUGUGAUUCGUCACACUAUCAUUAACUGAAUCCAUAGGUUAAUGAGGCGAACCGGGGGAACUGAAACAUCUAAGUACCCCGAGGAAAAGAAAUCAACCGAGAUUCCCCCAGUAGCGGCGAGCGAACGGGGAGCAGCCCAGAGCCUGAAUCAGUGUGUGUGUUAGUGGAAGCGUCUGGAAAGGCGCGCGAUACAGGGUGACAGCCCCGUACACAAAAAUGCACAUGCUGUGAGCUCGAUGAGUAGGGCGGGACACGUGGUAUCCUGUCUGAAUAUGGGGGGACCAUCCUCCAAGGCUAAAUACUCCUGACUGACCGAUAGUGAACCAGUACCGUGAGGGAAAGGCGAAAAGAACCCCGGCGAGGGGAGUGAAAAAGAACCUGAAACCGUGUACGUACAAGCAGUGGGAGCACAGAGCAAUCUGUGUGACUGCGUACCUUUUGUAUAAUGGGUCAGCGACUUAUAUUCUGUAGCAAGGUUAACCGAAUAGGGGAGCCGAAGGGAAACCGAGUCUUAACUGGGCGUUAAGUUGCAGGGUAUAGACCCGAAACCCGGUGAUCUAGCCAUGGGCAGGUUGAAGGUUGGGUAACACUAACUGGAGGACCGAACCGACUAAUGUUGAAAAAUUAGCGGAUGACUUGUGGCUGGGGGUGAAAGGCCAAUCAAACCGGGAGAUAGCUGGUUCUCCCCGAAAGCUAUUUAGGUAGCGCCUCGUGAAUUCAUCUCCGGGGGUAGAGCACUGUUUCGGCAAGGGGGUCAUCCCGACUUACCAACCCGAUGCAAACUGCGAAUACCGGAGAAUGUUAUCACGGGAGACACACGGCGGGUGCUAACGUCCGUCGUGAAGAGGGAAACAACCCAGACCGCCAGCUAAGGUCCCAAAGUCAUGGUUAAGUGGGAAACGAUGUGGGAAGGCCCAGACAGCCAGGAUGUUGGCUUAGAAGCAGCCAUCAUUUAAAGAAAGCGUAAUAGCUCACUGGUCGAGUCGGCCUGCGCGGAAGAUGUAACGGGGCUAAACCAUGCACCGAAGCUGCGGCAGCGACACUAUGUGUUGUUGGGUAGGGGAGCGUUCUGUAAGCCUGUGAAGGUGUACUGUGAGGUAUGCUGGAGGUAUCAGAAGUGCGAAUGCUGACAUAAGUAACGAUAAAGCGGGUGAAAAGCCCGCUCGCCGGAAGACCAAGGGUUCCUGUCCAACGUUAAUCGGGGCAGGGUGAGUCGACCCCUAAGGCGAGGCCGAAAGGCGUAGUCGAUGGGAAACAGGUUAAUAUUCCUGUACUUGGUGUUACUGCGAAGGGGGACGGAGAAGGCUAUGUUGGCCGGGCGACGGUUGUCCCGGUUUAAGCGUGUAGGCUGGUUUUCCAGGCAAAUCCGGAAAAUCAAGGCUGAGGCGUGAUGACGAGGCACUACGGUGCUGAAGCAACAAAUGCCCUGCUUCCAGGAAAAGCCUCUAAGCAUCAGGUAACAUCAAAUCGUACCCCAAACCGACACAGGUGGUCAGGUAGAGAAUACCAAGGCGCUUGAGAGAACUCGGGUGAAGGAACUAGGCAAAAUGGUGCCGUAACUUCGGGAGAAGGCACGCUGAUAUGUAGGUGAAGUCCCUCGCGGAUGGAGCUGAAAUCAGUCGAAGAUACCAGCUGGCUGCAACUGUUUAUUAAAAACACAGCACUGUGCAAACACGAAAGUGGACGUAUACGGUGUGACGCCUGCCCGGUGCCGGAAGGUUAAUUGAUGGGGUCAGCGCAAGCGAAGCUCUUGAUCGAAGCCCCGGUAAACGGCGGCCGUAACUAUAACGGUCCUAAGGUAGCGAAAUUCCUUGUCGGGUAAGUUCCGACCUGCACGAAUGGCGUAAUGAUGGCCAGGCUGUCUCCACCCGAGACUCAGUGAAAUUGAACUCGCUGUGAAGAUGCAGUGUACCCGCGGCAAGACGGAAAGACCCCGUGAACCUUUACUAUAGCUUGACACUGAACAUUGAGCCUUGAUGUGUAGGAUAGGUGGGAGGCUUUGAAGUGUGGACGCCAGUCUGCAUGGAGCCGACCUUGAAAUACCACCCUUUAAUGUUUGAUGUUCUAACGUUGACCCGUAAUCCGGGUUGCGGACAGUGUCUGGUGGGUAGUUUGACUGGGGCGGUCUCCUCCUAAAGAGUAACGGAGGAGCACGAAGGUUGGCUAAUCCUGGUCGGACAUCAGGAGGUUAGUGCAAUGGCAUAAGCCAGCUUGACUGCGAGCGUGACGGCGCGAGCAGGUGCGAAAGCAGGUCAUAGUGAUCCGGUGGUUCUGAAUGGAAGGGCCAUCGCUCAACGGAUAAAAGGUACUCCGGGGAUAACAGGCUGAUACCGCCCAAGAGUUCAUAUCGACGGCGGUGUUUGGCACCUCGAUGUCGGCUCAUCACAUCCUGGGGCUGAAGUAGGUCCCAAGGGUAUGGCUGUUCGCCAUUUAAAGUGGUACGCGAGCUGGGUUUAGAACGUCGUGAGACAGUUCGGUCCCUAUCUGCCGUGGGCGCUGGAGAACUGAGGGGGGCUGCUCCUAGUACGAGAGGACCGGAGUGGACGCAUCACUGGUGUUCGGGUUGUCAUGCCAAUGGCACUGCCCGGUAGCUAAAUGCGGAAGAGAUAAGUGCUGAAAGCAUCUAAGCACGAAACUUGCCCCGAGAUGAGUUCUCCCUGACUCCUUGAGAGUCCUGAAGGAACGUUGAAGACGACGACGUUGAUAGGCCGGGUGUGUAAGCGCAGCGAUGCGUUGAGCUAACCGGUACUAAUGAACCGUGAGGCUUAACCU